UUUUUUAAUUGAAAACUUGUAUGAAAGGUUGAACAAAAAAUUAGCUGUUUUAUUAAAAAAUAUAGAAUUUUACUUUUUAGUUAAAAGGCUAAAAUAGUUUUAAAAGACGAGAAGACCCUUUAGAGUUUAAUAAAAUAAUUUAUUUAUUUAAAAUAGAAAAUUUAUAAUAAAAUAAAUUAUUUUAUUUUGUUGGGGUGACAAUUAAAUUUAUAAAACUUUUUUUAUUUUAAAACAUUAAUUUAUGAAUUAUUGAUCCAAUAAUAUUGAUUAAAAAUUUAAAUUACCUAAGGGAUAACAGCGUAAUUUUUUCUUAGAGAUCUUAUCAAUGAAAAUUUUUGC
rnacentral:rRNA from 1 species